AUGCGUCUUCCUCCUGCGGAUUGUUCAUUGGUGACGGCAGGCGCUGUUGUGCAUGGUCAGUUGCCUGGGGUUCAUUCAGGGUGGUGUUUCCGCUCUGUGUCUCGCCGGCCGCUCCAUUCUCGCUGGCCUGGUGGCCAGCAUUCCGGCUCGGACCAGUUUCUUAAUGGAGAUCUUGAUAGACGCCGUCGUGAGAUUUCUUUAGGGAAGCGGCCUGUUGAUUGCACUGUUGUUCCACCACUACUGUUGGUUCUUCUUCCGUGUUUGAUGGCCUUGUGUUUGCUGCUCGGGCCGUCAUUGCGCGAACUGUUUAUUUGCUUUCUACUGCUUUUGUGGUGGUUGGUUUUCAUUUUUCUUUCUUUGUGA
rnacentral:rRNA from 1 species